rnacentral:tRNA from 1 species
GGGGUUGUGGCUCAGUGGAAGAGCGCUCACCUCAUAUGUGCGAGACCCUGGGUUCCAUCCUCAGCACCACA